AUGUUGUCCCACAAUUCUUCAUUUGAAGACCUUCAAGUUCGGUUUGGUCACAGCGGGGAUACUUUCCAUUGGCAAAUGAAGAAUUUCUUUGACAUCAUCCCUAUUCUCUCCAAGCAUUUUUUGAAGCCUCCAAACCCCAGUCAAGUGCAUCCGAAGAUUCAGUCGGACACGAGAUUCUUUCCUUAUUUUCAGGUUUUUUCUUCGCCAACUUUGAUCCACACCGAUAACUUACUCUUCAUGUUAUAG
rnacentral:rRNA from 1 species